rnacentral:lncRNA from 1 species
UGGGGGGCUUGCCCUAGGCAUGCCUAGAGGAAAGCCAUGCCCGGAAGUCGUUGCUCAAAGAGGAUCCGGUGACGAUGGUAUUCCGGUGAUAUUUUCUAAUUCGGACUCCAACGAUGGCGUUGUUCGCCUAUCCUCUGACAUAAACAUAGAGUUCAUUCCCCUCAGACCCAGAUUUUGCCAAACAACAACGGUGUGGAAGGUCGAUGAUUACGACCACUCAGCCGGAAAAUGGUGGGUGAUAACCGAUGGGGUUAAAGGGAACCCAGGUGCCAACACUUUGACCAGUUGGUUUAGAAUAGAGAAGGCGGGUGAUCUUGAUUACCCAUUUAAGUACUGCCCCGCUGUAUGUGGAACAUGCCCAGCCUUAUGCAACAAAAUUACGAGAGACUCAGAUGGAGAAAUGAUACGUUUGGCUCUCUCCGCUGGCCAUGGAUGGCCAUUUUUCUUUAAGAAAUUUCAAACAUCAGCCAUGGAGAUUGAACAAGUUGUUCAUAAUUAGAUUGAAAGCAAUCAUUAUGCAUGAACUAGUAGUUACUAUACAAUAUUAGCUUCAAGUAAAUAAUGCUGGGAGAACUGAUUGUUAAGAUUGCCUUGUUUGAAGCAGCAGCAUGUAUAUAUAUAUGCUUGCUUACAAGGUUUGUCUCUCAGAGUCCUUCUCUUUGUACUCUUUUCAGCUUAAUAUAUAAACUGUCUACUUAUUUACUUCUUUUAUUGCCAUUGAUUCUAGUAGUAUUAGACUCAUUAACUUGGAUACAUUGUCUUGUAAGAGAUAGCUUAUCUCUUAACAACUGUUUGGGUCAACAAAAUUAAUGUAUAUAUGAAAACGAAUAUUGAAUUUGGAUGUCCAAUCAAUUUUUUUAAUUAAUUAAUUAAAAAGAAUUGUUUUAAUUCAAAAAAUCUAAAAGAAUUUGAUAAAAAAUGUGGAAGGGCACACUUGUAUGAUGAAUAGUAGUGAUAAUAAUGAUAGAAGUCGUUUUCCUAGCACAAGUAUGGGAUUCGUCCAUUUGGUUUUAUAUUUAUCCACUUGCCUGAGUGUUUAAGAGUUAAAAAGGACAAAACUAUUAAGUAGAAAACACCAAACGAAUUGGAAGGCUUUUGUCUUCUUCAAUUAGUAUGACCUAUAUUUCUUAUUAAACUUCGUAUUUUACAUUCAAUAUCAUCAUCGCAAUCAUUUUAAUUUAUUUUCAUGAAUAAACUUUUAUGUCCCAUUUUAAUUGAAUCAUUAAAAAUUAUUAAUUGAAUUUUUUUUAAGUCAAGUGAUACUAAUUUGAUUUUUUUAAAAAAGUUGUUUGAAUUAAUUUGAUUUCGUGUCAUAAUUGACAUAAAUGGCCAUUGUGAAUGGCAACAUCAAUAGUUAUUGAGUACAGCGGCUAAAAUUUUCAGUUAAAAAAAAAAGAAUGAAAGGAAAACAAAAAGAAAAACGUGGAAAGAAAGAAAGAAAGAAAGAAUAAUAAUAAUAAUAAUAAUAAUAAAUAAAAUAGAAUUGUGGGGGCGAUGCUUUUGAACAAAUCUUGAUUUAAACUAUAUAAAGAAAAUAUGUGUUAUAUAUAUAAUUAAUUAUGUACUUAUACUUAAUAUAUUAUAUAUCUAAUGUCAUAUUUUCAUAUUCUCAGGAAGUGGUGACAUACAAAUACUUGAUUCGAUUUAUUUCUUUAGCUCCCCGUGAAUUGUAUGUUUGUAACAUUAGGGAUAGAAUUUCUUCAAUUAUCCAAUUGACUGGACGUAUUGUGUCGAUUUUUUUUUAGUAAUAUACCUAGAAAUACCCGUUGAUUCUUUAUAAACGCUGUUUCGAACACAACUGGUACACUCUAAAAUAAUUUACUUGAACAUCAUUACUCUUAGCCAUGAACCUCCUUUGAGUUUUUAAUUCACCCAACUUUUUUAUUUUCCGAUCAAAAGCAAAGAAGAAAGGAAUGAAAAGAAAAGAAAGAAAUCAAAGUUGCUAACUCAAAACCAAAUCCUGAAAAUUUUCAUUUCAAUGAAUAUAGUAAGUAAAUAUAGAUUUAUAGUAAUAGCAAAUAAUAAGAAUUAAGUAAUAUAACGAUUUUUAAUUCUAUUUAGAAUCAAUUAAAAUAUUCAAAUAAAUAUUCAAUUAAAAUAAAUUAAACUGUAUAAAUUUUAUAAUUUUAAAUUAUUAUUUUUGUAUUAAUUUAAAAACAAAAUAAAUAUUAUAUACAAUGAUUUAGUUACAGCGUGUCAGCUUGAAGUCUAAGACUUUAUAACAUAUAAAUUUAAUAGAUAAUUAAUAACUAAAAAAUUAAAUAGCAAAAGCAUAAUUGCGCCACUUCUCACCAUUUUAAUGUAUGCAACUUAUUAUAUAUUUAUAUAUAUUAUCAUUUUAUUUUAAAUAAUUUAAUUUUAUAAAUUUAGGGAUAAAUCUCAAAAUUAUACAUGAACUUUAAUUUAAUAUGCAAUUGUAUAUAUAAACUUUAAUUUGGUACAAUUAUACACGUGAUACUUUAAUUGUGGUUUAAAUACUCACUUGAAACUUUAGUUUUGAUUUAAUAAUGCAUAUUUAAAUAAAUAAAUACAUCAAUUUUUUUAUAUUGGGUAAAUAUAAUUAUUUAUGUAUGCAAUAUAUAACAUAAAAUGAUGUUAUAUCAAUAAUUGUGUUAAUAAUUUUCAAGAAUUGGAUCAAAUCAAAAUUUCAUGUAUAAAAUUGAACAAAAUCAAAGUUAAUGUAUACAAUUGCACAUUAAACCAUAAUUCAUGUAUAUUUUUUUGUAUAUAUCCCAUAAAUUUAUUUCAUUAACUUUUUACCUAUAUCAUAUAUAGAGUUGUUCGUGAACCGAGCCAAGGAAUGCCUGCUCGAAAAAAUGAGAGGGUUUGGCAAAAAAAUAUAUGCCUAAAAAAUGGGCUUGGAUAAAAAGACAAGGCCCGUUUAGAAAAUGAACCGGCAUUGAGUAGGGUUUUUUUGUCCGGGCUCAGCCUAACCCGAAUUUUCAAUUAAAAAAAACCUUGUUGUUUUUGCUGCUAUUUUUCCAUAUCUUGGUGUUGUUUUCUCACUUUUUGCCGCUAUUUUACUACCAUUUCACUAUUAUGUUACUACUAUUUUUUUUAAUGUUUGGAUAUAGUAUAAUAAUUGUUUUAUUGUUAAUUUUAUCACUAUUUUAGAGACAUUUGUUUGUUAUGUUGUACUUAUUUUAGUUUUUAUUUAAGUAUAAAAAAAUUUAAAAUUUAUUUUCAAUUUAUUGAUAAACAUGUAAUUUAAUAUUUUCAGUGUAUUUAUUGUAUUAUAUUUGUUAAAUUUAUAUAAAAUUAAAAUUAAAAAAAUAUGGACCGAGAUGGGAGUUUAACAAAAAUUUAGGCCCAUUUUUCAAGUCGGGCCGAUCUCAAACCUAACAAUCGGACUUAAAAUUUUGUUAGAGCUCGGCCCAUCCCAUGAACAACUCUAAUUAUAUAUAUAUGUCAUUCUCUAAUAAUAAUAAUAAUAAUAAUAAUAAUAAGUGGAUAACAUAAAACUAGUAGUAAAGAGUAAGAAGACAAAGAAGAAUUAAGUGGAUAACAUAAAACGUGCGAAAACAUUUAUCUUCAAUUCUGACACAUAAAGCUAGUAUUUUUGGGUAAAGUAUAGAAAUGGUGAUUAAAUUAUUGUUGAUGUUCUAUUUUAAUUUUUAAUUUUUCUAUUUUAGUUAUUAAAUUAUUUGAAAUUAAAUUUUUUGGUUAUCAAAGGUUAACAGUAGUUUGAAAUUUAACAGAAAUAUUGAUGUGAACUUUUCUUAUUGAUUUAAUAAUAAAUUUAGCCUUCUAAUAUUUAUAUAUUCUAUUAAUUUGAUACUAAAUAUAAAAAUUUAACAAAUUUAACCUUCAAUAUUUACAAAUUUUGUUAUUUUAAUUCAAAUUCUAAAAAAAAUUUAAUAAAUUUAACCCUCAACAUUAAAAAAUUUGAUAAAUUUCAAUUUUUAAAAUUUUGUAAAUUCCUAAAAUAUAAAGCAUCAUUCUCCACCUCAUAGGAUUCCAUGUAAAUGGAUUUUCUUGAAUUCUUUACCAAGUUGUCUUGAGUUUAAUUUCUUCUUAUUUAGUUUGUGGAAUAAAUGGCAUAUAGUUAGAUGUCACUGCAGCUGACAAUGAAAGGUUUGACAAAGUUGAUAAAUUCAGAGCUUUUGAUGCUGAGCUUCAAAUCAGUCUUGCCUCCACUCACCCAAGAAAUCAACUUUACAAUUUUUAUUAAGUCUUAACUAGAUUAAUAUGAGUAUUGUUAUCAAUAUAGGAGAAAGUGAAUUUUAGUGCGUUGAAACACAUUAUCUUCUUAUUGAUGAAUUGAGGAGGGGCUAUGAAUAGUUUUAAAUAUUAUAUUAAAAAAGCAGAGAUAAUUGAAACCUACAAUAAUAUUGUUCAAAAAAAUUACCUAAAAACACGAAAUCUUACUCCCUGAAUUUUCUAGAAACACAAAUAUUUCUCCCUGCCUUUGAUGGUGUAUACAUGCAUGGCCAUGUGUGAGCUCCUGCAUUUUAACUAAUCAACACAGAUAAUACCCUCAAUGAGACAUUAAAAUUAACUUUUAUUUUUGUUUUUUCAUAAAUUUUAUAAUUUUGUAUUUCAAUGAAAAAAUCUAAAUCUAAGUUGAUCCGAGUCCAAAAAAAAAUCUGAAGCUGUAAAAAGUUUGAUCUGAGGCUGCUCAUUUGCCACCUCUAAUAACCAUUUGAUAGAGGUUUAAUAUAAAGGAAUUUAGAUUUUAGGAAUUUAUAAAAUUUUUAAAAUUAAUUUUUUAUUUGUAAAUACUAAGGGAUAAAUCUAUUGAAGUUUUUAAAAUUUGAACUGAAAUGUCAAAAUUUGUAAACAUUGAAGGCUAAAUUUGUUUAUUUUUUCUAUUUAAGACCAAUCUGAUAGAAUGUGUACACAUUAGAAGACUAAAUUUAUUAUUAGACCAAUAAAAAAAUGCCCAACUUAACGCUUUCUCAAAUUUCAAACCGAUGUUAAUAUUCAAUGACCAAAAUUUUUUAUUUCAAAUAGUUUAGUGACCAGAAUAGAAAAAAAAUUAAAAGUUUGAUGACCAAAAUAGAACGCGGAUAAUAAUUUAAUGAUAUUUUUAUACUUUAUCUGUUUUUUAUGAUUAUUUAUACAUAUCAAGUGGAGCUAAUUUAGGGAAAAGAAUCAAUGGUUAAGGUUGUUGUUGAUACUUAAUGAUCAGGGUCCAAAUUUUGCUAAUGUAAUUUUCCUUAUCAUAAUUUGUAUCUUAAUUUUGUUACCAAAAAAAUAUUAGUAAUAAAUAAUAUAUGCUCGAGAAAUGUACGUAUGAUUGAUUUAAACAAUACAUGUUGGAGUAAUUUACAUAUGGAUUUAAAAUAAAUUUUAAAAAUAAAAUAAAAUUUUAAAAAUCCAAAAGUAUUUUUUCUUUUAAAAAAAUUUAAAAAUAAUUUUUAAAUUAUUUACAUGAUUGAUUUAAAGGAUUUCUUUCUAUUAAUUAUUUUUAUAUUAAAUUUAUUUUCCUUUAUGUAUAACAUUUAAAGGGUUUGUAUAUAUGCUAACUCGCGAGUCAAUUAAAAUUUGUAUUAUAUUCAUUGAAUUUUUUUAAAAUAUAUAUUUUAUUAAUUUAUUUAUUUAUUUGAGACCCAUGAUAAACUUGUAUUUAAAGUUAUUGGUGCACACUAUAAAUUCAUAUAUUGAAAAUGAUAGGUGCUAAAAGUAACAUGUUUUAGUCUCAUUCUUAAUGUGUUUUUGGAUGAUUAUUCGAUAUAAAAUGGUUAAUUUUAUGCUACUAAACUUUUCAAUUUACGUUCUACACUUAAUAGAGCAUUUAGGAGCAAAAGAAGCGAAAAACGAGCGAAAAUAAAAAAAAUAGGAGCAAGUCUCAAAAGCCACACAGGCUGAGCCAUUCCACACGGGUUGGACACAUAACCGAGUGAGCCACACGACCAUGUGCUAGACUGUGUGGAAAUCGCAAAUUACACUCCAAACGGCGUGAAAACACGUUAAUUUUAAGGUUUUUUAAGCAUUUUAAUACCUAUACAUGACAAAGAUAAGAAGAGGGGAGAGAGUCGUCAGAAAAUAUUAAAGAAAACAACUUAAAAAACACCAUUGAAGCUAACUUUGAAGCAAAUUUUCAUCAAGAUUGAAGAUCUCAUUUUGAUUUUUUUGAAGUUUAUUAUGAGUUUCUUUAUUUAUUGUAGUUAUACUGUCUUUAGGAUGUUUUUAUUUGCUAUCAUGAACGAAUUUUCUAAAUACCUAGGGAGAUGAAUCCUAUCAUGAAUUAUGUUAUUUGAUUUCUAUUUUUACGUAAUAAAGACUUAGAUCUUAUUCUCAAUUAUGUGUGCUUAAUUCUUGGUUUAAUAUUUCUAGACUAUUAAUCAAUGUUUGAUGUGCUUAAAUCAGAGGAGGAAUAAACCCUAUUUAAGAGUAGAUCUAGCGUAAAUGAGUGGAGUUGCAUGCAAUCCUAGAAAUAGGACAACAUAAAUCUACCGUAAUAGAUCCAAAUCUAAUAGGGGAAUCUAUAGAUCGAGUUAAUACGAUGAUAGAGGUUUUAAUUAGAAAUAAAUUUCAGUUAAUUAACCUAGAGUCAGUUACUCUUAGUCUUGAAGAGAUAUAUUAGCAUAAUUUAGGGAUUUUUACAGAUCAAUAUUCUAAGUGACGAAGUUGUGUAAUAUAGAUUGAUAAUGACAUAUGAAGUCUAGGUAGAUUCUUUCCUAGGUAUUGUCUCGCUCUUGGUUAUUAUUUGAUUAUUUUCUUGAUUUGUGCUUUGUUGUGUUAUUUAGUUAACUAAUUUAGUUAAUUUUAGUUCCAACCAAUCACUCCAAUUUAUCAGUUAAAUAAUAGAAAAGACGGUAAUUACUGGUACUUUUAGUCUUUGUGAAAACGAUAUCUUUGCUCACUAUAACUAUACUAUUAAUUGAUGUGCACUUGUCUGAGUUAGAUUUUUAGUUGGUUUACGACUGCAAUCAAAAAACUCAUUAAGUUAGCACAAACUAAGUUAAUUAUUCGUUGGUUGCUUUAUUUUUUUUCCUGAAGUUUCGAUUUCAUCUUUCAUUAUGUACAACAAUUUUGGUAUAAAAAUAUCAAAUUCUCGACACUUAAUAUAUACCUUUGAAAUAUAAACACAUGCAUCAAUUUUUUUAGGUUCCUCACAACUUACUUGUCCAAAAUUCUUGUAUCUUUCAGUUCUCCUGAUUGAAUCAAAAUUUGACUUUGUAAUUAUUUUUUAAGGACCUCAAACUAUCAAUUUAUAGUAUAAAUUUUCAAUAGCUUUCAUUCUUUACAAAUUGGUCCCUAAUUAAUCAACAAUGGUAUUAAAGCUUAAGCUUAGGGUCCCGUUGUUUCACUGAAAAUGGCUUUCGAAAAAUAAUUUCUAGAAAAUGACUUACUUUCCUAGAAAAGUUAAUAUUUUCUGAUGUUUGGAUGAAUCAGUGUAAAAUAUUUUAUAUUGUUUGACAAAUUUCUUAAAAAUAUUUCAUAAAAGCUGUUUUCAAUGAAACAAACAUGCAUUUGAGAUUUUCUUAUCUUUUCAUUGUUUAAUUAAGUUUAUCUUAUAUCUAUAAAUUUAUAUUUUACAUUUUUUUGCAUAUAAUAAAAAUAUAUAUUUUUUAAUUCAGGUUCACUACCAUGUCACUUUUUAGUUACAUGACUACCAAGUGAGUAUUUUUUUUAUUUAAAAAUGUGACAUCAACAAAAUUGACAAAAAAAAAAUUUAGCAAUGUCAACAAUUGGACUUGAUUUUCAAAUCUGAAAAGUAGAGGGACUAAAUUCUUGAAAAUAAAAGUAUAGAGACUAAAUUGAAAAUUUGUGAAGAAUACAUAGACUUAUCACAUUUUUUAACUUUUAUACUACAAAAUAUUUAUCAUUAAUAUAUUUAUAAUUAUAAUAAAUAUUUAUUAUUAAAAUAUUAAUAUUAAAUAUUUUCAAUAAGAAGAAUAUUAUUUAAAAUUAUUUUUUUUAAUUUUUUAUUAAAAUAAAAUUGAAAUAUUAAAUAAUUUAUUAAAAUAAUUAAUUUUAUUAAUAAUUAAUUUUAUGACUAAAUAUAAAUAAUUAAAUAUGUGUGUUUAAUAAUAUUGAAAUAUAUAAUAUUUUAUAUUAAUAUUUUAAAUAUUUUUAAAAAUAAAAAUAAAAUUUAUUUUCAAUAUAAUAAUAUUAAUAUUGAUUUAAAUGAAUUUUUAUAUAAAAAUAAAAUUACCUAUAGAUGAGCUCUUUUCCAGAAAAUGACUUACACUUUUCAAAAGGAUAAGUCAUUUUAUAGGAAAAAGAGUUCAAUUUUACAUUGACCUGUAAGUCAUUUUCCGAUGACCAAAAUGUUUUCUGUAAAAUAAACAUAAGAAAAUGAAGAAAAUAUUUUCCGUAAAACCUUUUACAUGUAAACAAACGGACCCUUAAUUCAAGCUUGUUCUAACAUAACCCACUUCACUAUUAGCAUGACUCUUCCUUAUACUAUGUUUAACCAUUAACCCUUCUCAUGAUUUCUAACAAAAAUUCUCUAAGUUCUCUUUAAUGGAAACUUCUAUUAGCUUCAACAAUAAGAAAUUCUAACCAUUGGGUUGGUUGUAUCAAGUUUCAUAGUUUAAAAAACUAUAAAAAAAUUAUUUAGAAAACAAUUUGUUUACCUUUGAUGGCCUUGAUGGAGAACAACUUGGUUUCUUCUUCUACUUAGUUUAAAGAAUGCAUGAAGAAGAAGAAGAUUUCCCCUCUCCCUCUAUCUUAAAUAUAUAUAUAAAUAACCUAUUAAUCAAGGUAAUUAACUCACUAAUUAAUCUUAAUUAGUUAUGAUCUAAUGGCCAUAAACUUACCAUAAGAAAAUUAGUGGAAAUGUGUGGCAUUGAUAAUGGUUUGCCAAUAAUCAAACUUCGGGCAUGGUAAUAUUGCAAUCAGGUCCUUGGUUUAAUUACACUUUAAGUACUUGCUAAAUUCUCUAAUCAAUUCCCACUAGUUGGAUCACUUGAACAAUUGGGUCCAUGUAUUAUAGUUACAACUUAUCUAAUUUAAUCAAUUAAUGAUUUGACUUUAUAAUUUCAUGUGCAACACACAAACUCCUCCGGUAAAUUCUCAAGCUAGCUUUAUUUAAAAAUUUGGCCUCAAAACCAGCUUUCCAAAUGUUCAUGAAAAUUGAGUUGUUACAUUAUGGUAUUUGUUUUGUUCAGCUUAUUUGUCAAGCUCUAUUCCUUUGAACUUAUGUUCGUUGACUUUGGUGUUGCUUAAAUGAAAAUGUGGUGAACAAUAUUAUGGAUAGGAGGAGUGUAUGAUUGAGUAUGUGUAACACCCCUAACCCACAUCCUUCGCCAAAUUAAAGUGACAGAGUGUUAUUAUUCAAAACAGAACAUUCCAUGACAACACAUAAACAAUUAUGCAAAUUAUCACAAUCAUUAAUUAACCAUAUUAAAAUAUAACAUAAGUAUCCAUACGACCUUUAAAUCGAGCUUAUAUGGCCUUAAAAAUAGCUUGGGAUCAAUCUAGGAUCAAUUUGGAACAUAACAUAAAUUUUAAGAAAAAUCUAAAAAUUUUGGGAAACAUGGGUCACACAACCGUAUGUCCAGGCCGUGUGACAUAGCCCAGACCUUGUGGGAAUUCAAAAUCAGGACACUCAAUCAUGUCCUAGCCCGUAUGUCUACCUGUGUGAAUAUUUGAAAUAGGGUCCCACAGUCGUGUCGCGGCCAUGUGCUAAACCGUGUAUAUAUUCAAAUUAUGAACACAUGGCCGUGUCGCAAGCCAUGUGCUAGACCGUGCUCAAAACUAUUUUGAGACACACAGCUGUGCCUUAGGCUGUGUGAAAUUUUCACUUUAGACAACGACACACAGCCGUGUGCCAGACCAUGUACACCAAAAUGUACCUUAAAAAUCAAAUUUACCAAAACAUGUUUACUUAGGCAUCAAGCAACCUAAUUACCAUCAAUCAAACUCAUUCAAAACACAAUUAAACAGGUUCAAAACAUCCAUCCUAAGUGCCUAGCCAUUGUGCCCUCAUUGACAUCAUAAUUCAAUAAUCAAAUCAAUCACAUUUAAACCAAGAUUUAAACAUUCAAAUUAUAAAAUCAUCAUUAACCAUUCAUACCAAAACACUGAUCAUUUCAAGUCAUAAACACCUAGCAAUAUUCACAUACUUUAUAAAGCUUAACUACCAAUACCAAAUAAGAUCCAUACACACAUACAUACCAAACAAAACACAUAUUCACAAGUAUCAUUCAAGAUUUACAACUUUACAUGUAAUUAACAUAAUUUCAAGUCAAUUAUUACAUGUCAUACAACCCAAAACAAACACUAAACAAACUACCAAUAGUUUCUCGAAUAGUGUGAUUCUUGAAAUCAAAUUGAUCACCCGAAGCGUCAAAAAUAAAUCUACAAGAAAGCAUUGGAAGAGACACAAGAGUAAGCUUACUUAAGCUUAGUAAUUUCCAUGGAUUUAAACAAUCAACUUACCGGAUAAACUUAUCUAAUAUAGAGUAUAGAAAAGUCAUAAAUCAUAAUCAUGUCAUCCAUAAUCAGAUCACGAGUGAGUCUUAAACUUAAAUAUGAAUGAAUUAAUUCAAUCAAUUACAUUAUAUCACUAAAUUAUACCCGAUGAACGUUGCAAUGGAUUUGGAUACACAGUUAACCAACCAAACACUCCAAAUCACUCAAAUGAGCUAGCCAUCUGAAAGUACACAUGGGCACCAAGUGCCAAGCCCAUAGGCUAACAUCCCUCCGAAACACACCUUGUCACCAAGUGCCAAGCCCGUAAGCUUUACAUCUGCCCCAGAAACACACCUGAAGCACUGCAAUAUAACGUAAUAGUUCGCAACAAAUGUUGAACUUCAAUAUAUUCAAUAAACAUGAAUAAGAUCAGAAUCAUCAUCUCCACAUCCACCAAUCUCGUAAAGCGCACGAUAUAACUUAUUGACAUGCCAAUUGUAUCCUAUCAUACAUUCAUCGGCUCACAUAUUUGUCAUUUAACAACAUUUAAUACAAUUUCUUUCCCAAAUCAUUUCACUUACCACAAUUCAAUACUUCCAUGUCAUUUAAUAAUUUCAAUCCACAAGUAAUUAAAUAUUUAAAUUAUACUAAAAUUAAACUGUACAAACUCACUAGGGCCAAAUUGCAGAAACAACAAAAGUUCAGGGACUAAUCAACAACCUUCCCUUUUUCCACAAUUAUCAACUUGAUCUUGAUCUAUAAUAUAAUUUAUUUCAAUUAUUAGCCUCAAUUUUCAUAUUCUAAUCAUUUCAAAACAUAUGAUCUCUUAUUUAUAAAUUUACACAUUUAUCCCAAAUUUUUACAUAUUAUACAAUUUAAUCCCUAUGACCAAAUCAAGCUUAGUUCUACAAUUAAAUUCUCAAUCCAUAGAACUAAAUUUUAACCACAUCCAAAACAAUCCAUAUAUGCUAAAAUUUUCAAGAGUAACAUGUCUAUUUCAGUUAAAUCACUAAACAUCAAAUUUUGUAAAAAUCACUUACAAACUCAAUACAUAUGGUCACCAAGCUUCAACCCAAACUAUUUACUACUACAAAUCUUCGAAAAUUUCAAUACAUAAUUUCUAUACUUUGAUAACUUCACAAAUAAACUCCAAAACUAGCUAAAUUCCAUUAUCAAUAGCUCAAAACUUAAAAUUUGAUGAUGAAUAAACCAAGAAAAUACUUACAUGCAUUAAAAACUAACAAAAACCAAGAUCCAAGCCUUAGAACAAUGGUGUUUCGGCCAAACCUAAGAAAAAUAAAGAAGAUGACCACUACCCCACUUUUGUUUUACUUUCCUUUUAUUAUUAUAAUAAUCUUUAUUUAUGAAAUUAUAACAUUAUAAAACACCAAUUUAAUUUUUUUUCUCUCUUUACCGCCCAUAUUAACUAACUAUGGGCUAAUGGCAACAUAACCUCCCUUAGUUUACUAAUUUAAGCUAUUAUAUUAAAAUAAAUCUAUAAUAAGCAACUUUUCCACCUAUUACAUAUUAAUCUUUUUUCUUUAAUCAAUUCACUAUACGUUAAAUUUUCUAAACCAAAACUUAAUACGACACUGAUGACUUUGUAAAUAUUAAAUAAUUAAUAAUUCUAGACUGACACGUCGAAAGUGUAGUCCUAAAACUAUUAUUUUCGACACCACUGGAAAUCGAACUGUUAUAGUAUGAUUCUACCUCUUAGGGGGAGACGUAUUCUAGUUUCCUUUGACUUGUUUAGAUGAUGUGUUAAUCAUUUGCUACUGGUUUUGUCAAAAUGCCAAAUGGUGAGAUUGUUUCAAACUUUGUUCAUGUUCGAACAUUAGAUUAAACAAUGCUUAAUUUGAUGCAUUCAAAGAAUUUAUGUUGGCAUGUUUGACUUUAUAAUGAAAUGGCUUAUGAUUUAAUCUCGUUGAGUAGCAAAUGGGGAAGUGAUUUUGUGUUAUAACAUGUGAUGAUCAUUAUCUUUCAAUCAACUACCUUGAAGAAGAAUGGGAGGAGUUUGAACUUUUGUGGACUUUCGUAAUAUUUGAAGCUGCUAAGAUACUUGUUUAUAAAGACUUUUAUGAUAUAACUAAUCAAAAUAAUUCAUGUCAGAAUUUUUGGAGUUUUAAACUUAUGAAGACUCUAGUAUUGGCCUAUAAAUAGGCAUAAUUACCGCACAUUGAAAAUAGGCUUUUGGAGGGUUUAAGUUGGAUGCUUUGGUGAAUUUUUCCUGUGUUUUAUACAACACUCUUUUUUAAGUUUUUAUUGGGGGAUAUUUGCUUGAUUGUAAGUGAGAUAUUUUGGAGAGAGUGAUUUGUAAUAAUUUAGGUUCAAUAUUGAAGUUGCAAAUAACUACAAGGUAAUGGUAAUUUGGACUCUAGUCAAUAGUUAAUCAAGACGAAUUGUAAAUAAAAAUUAUUUUUUAAGUGAAACUUUACAGAAUAAAACUAGUGAACUCAAACUACGCUAACAAAUAUUAUAUACUAUCUUUCCUUACUUUACUCGUUGCUUUACCUUAUUUUAAAAUUGCUUUGUCAUAAAUGUAUUAUGUUUGACCCUUUCCGAUCGAAAUAAAAAAAUGAGAUUGAAAUUGUGAUAAAGCUAAAAAAAAGUUACAACAAAUAUGAUUAAUAUUAUUUUUAUAUAUACUUACUAAAAUUUAAAAAGGAAUUACAUUUAUCGAAUAUUAUUUUAUUUAAUAAAUAUAAUUAAUAUAUUUUAUAUAAAAUUUAAACUUUUUAUUAUUUGUUAGCUAAAUUUUAUUAUUUUUAUUUUCUUUAUGAAUAAAAUUAAUUUUCCUAAAAUUUGAGAUAAAAAAAUGUUAUAUAGAAAAUUAAAUUAGUAAAAAGUGCAGUUCAUACUUUAUAAUUAUUAUAAAUGAAAAAAUAUUAUAAAAGAUAAAUAUUAAACAUAAAAAAAUCAAUUCUAAAAUAAACUUAACUAUUAUAAUAAAAUAUUUUUAUAUAAAAAAGAAAUUAUAGAAAAGACUUACUGAUUAUAUUUCCAAUUUUCGACAUUCAUAAAAAAAAAGUGGUCCUAAUAAUUUAUUUAUACAAAAAAAAAAGUGGUCCUAUUAAUUAACCUCACAUUUGAAAUGUGUUAUAUGUAAUAAUAUUAAUAUCUUUAUCAAUUUUGGAGGUUCAUCCUUUCCCAUCUCUAUAAAUUCGCAUGGAGAAAUAAAGCAAUACAUCAACACAAUCUGUAUAACCAUGAAAACCACAACAGCUUCAGUGUUUCUUCUUUUCAUCAUCUUCUCAGUCACACCAUCAUCCUUUUUGUUUGGUGUAGCCAACGCUACAAACGAACCUGUACUCGACUUUGAUGGCAACGAGGUUCAAACAGGCACCCCAUAUUACGUUGUGUCGUACAUAUGGGGUGCUGGUGGUGGGGGGCUUGACCUAGGCAGGCCUAGUGGAAACCCAUGCCCGGAAGUCGUUGCUCAAAGAGGAUCCGGUGACAAUGGUAUUCCGGUGAUAUUUUCUAAUUCGGACUCCAACGAUGGCGUUGUUCGCCUAUCCUCUGACAUAAACAUAGAGUUCAUUUCCCUCAGACCCAAACUUUGCCGAACAACAACAGUGUGGAAGGUCGAUGAUUACGACCAUUCAGCCGGAAAAUGGUGGGUGAUAACCGAUGGGGUUAAAGGGAACCCAGGUGCCAACACUUUGACCAGUUGGUUUAGAAUAGAGAAGGUGGGUACUGAUUUUCAAUAUUACACAUUUAAGUACUGCCCCGCAGUAUGUGGAACAUGCCCAGCCUUAUGCAACCAAAUUGUGAGAGACUUUGAUGGAGAAAUGGUACGUUUGGCUCUCACCACUGGCCAUGGAUGGCCAUUUAUCUUUAAGAAAGUUGGAAAAUCAGCCAUGGAGAUUGAACAAGUUGUUCAUAAUUAGAUUGAAAGCAAUCAUUAUGCAUGAACUAGUAGUUACUACAUAAUAUUAGCUUCAAGUAAAUAAUGCUGAGGGAACUUAUUGUUAAGAUUGCCUUGUUUGAAGCGGCAGCAUGUAUAUAUAUAUGCUUGCUUACAAGGUUUGUCUCUCAGAGUCCUCCUCUUUGUACUCUUUUCAGCUUAAUGAAUAAACUGUUUACUUAUUUACUUCUUUUGUUGCCAUUGAUUCUAGUAGCAUUCGACUCAUUAACUUGGAUACAUUACCUUGUAAUUAACCAAAAAGUUAUGUGUAUAUAUAUAAAGAGUGUGUGAGAGAAAAAAUAGAAUACCAAGUACCAAGUGAAAAAUGUUAAUACUAGGAUUAUUCAAAGCGAUUUCAAUGAACAGAAAUGGAAUAGUCGUCGGGUGGUUAGGGCAUUUUAUCUUUAGAGAUAAAGAAGGUUGGUUCAUGUUCGGAGUUUGUGGCUACUCCUUCAAUAAUAUCGUUUUUAAAGUUUAAACUUGUAUCACAUUUUAAACACGUAAUGUAUCUUACCAUUACAUCCAACAAUAUUAACCAUUUACUCUAUUGUAUUGUAUUGUAUUCUAUUAUUAAUUAAUGAUUAUGAUAUGUAUUAAGUUUAAGAUGAAUUUUCUCAGUAAUAUAUAUCAAUGGAAUCAAAUAUUUGUAUUUAAAGUUUUAACUCCACAUUAACUUUUUCUUUAUUUUGUCCGUUUGCUGGCGAUGAUUAGGAGAUUAAUGGUUGGUAUUUGUGGUUAGUAGGUUAUAACUCAAUAGUGAACUCGAGGGUUGAUAGUGGCCCGACUCCACUUAAAUAAAAAAUUUUACAUUUAAAUCUCUUUAUAAUUUAUAAAAUUUUAAAUUAAUAAUAAAAAAAUUAUAUUUUAACUCUCUAAAAUUAAUAAAAAUGAUAAAAAUGUAGAAGUAAAUUUAUACAAUUAAUGAUAAUAAUGAUAAGAAGUUGUUUCCUGUCACAUGGAAAUUUAUGGCAUCGUCCAUUUGGUUUUAUAUUUGUCCAUUUGCUUGGUUAAGAGUUGAAAGACAAACUAUAAUUAAGUAUACAAAACCAAACGAAUUUCAAGGGUUUUCUCUUCAAUUAUUGUCGAAUUUAGCUAAUUAUUAGUAAUUUUUAUUAUUUAAUUAUAAAAAUUAUAAAAUAAUGACUUAAUUAUAAGAAUUAUAAAAUAGUGACUUAAUUAUAAAAAUAUAUAUAAAUAGCCAUCUAAUUAUUUAAUUUUUUUUCUUUUUUAUCAUCACCGGAUUAAUGGUGGUAAUUUUUAUAAUUGACAUAAUAGUAACUUUAACCAUUAAUAAUUAUACAUUAUGUCAAUUUAGUCUUGAUUCUAAAAAAUUUAACCUUUGACAUUUACACAUAUAUAAUUUGACAUUUUUAUAAUUUUAUUUUUUACUAAAAAUAAAUCAUGAAAAUAAUAAAAUAUGCAUAAAAAUAAAAAUACAGCUACCGAGUAUAUGUCUUAAUGUAGAUUUAUAACAAUUAUCUUUUCAUAAAGAUAUUUUAUUAUAAAAUAUAUAAUAAGCACUUCCCUGUAACAAAUAAAAUUGUAGUAAACAAAUGAAAUUAUUAUAAAGAAGAAUUUUCUAUUUUCAUAAUAAUAAUAAUAAUAAUAAUAAUAAAAGAAAAGAAAAAAGUGGUUCUAUUAAUUCACCUCACAUUUGAAAUGUGUUAUAUGUAAUAAUAUUAAUGUCUUUAUCAAUUUUGGUGGUUCAUCCUUUCCCAUCUCUAUAAACACUACACCAGAAUAGGUUUUUAGCGGCGUUUUUUAGGCCUUUAGCGACGCUUAUUAACGCCACUAAAUCUAUUUCCGGCACUUACAAAAAAAAGCCGCUAAAGAUCAUGUUCUUUAGCGGCGCUUAGGAAAAAACGCCGCAAAAAAUCAUGUUCUUUAGCGGCGCUUAGAAAAAAACGCCGCUAAAGAUCAUGUUCUUUAACGGCGCUUAGAAAAAAACGCCGCUAAAGAUCAUGUUCUUUAGCGGCGCUUUGGAAGAAAACACCUCUAAAAGUAAUGUUCUAUAGCGGCGCUUGUUCAAAAACGCCGCUAAAAGUAGUGUUCUUUAGCGUCGCUUGUUUCACAAACGCCACUGUUUUGAUAUGACUUUUAGCGGCGCUUUUUUAAAAAAUGUCACUAAUUUUGGGAUUUUUUUAAAAUAAAAUUUUCUGUUUUUUUCAGCCCUCCUGCAACAACAAAUCAAAAGCAACCAGAUCUAAACUAACCAAAAAUAAUAAAUUUAUAUAAUAUUUCAAAUUAAAUGAAUAAAAUAAUAUUAAUUGAUAUAAAUAAAAGUGAAUUUCAGACUUUUCUUUACAAAAACGUUAAAAGUAUUUAUGCAACAUACACUAUGACGGCGGAAGUUGCGACUGCUGAAACAUCUUCAUCAUAAUCUAAAGCUGCUGUUGAAGUUCGUCGUACUUUUUGCUCUACUUUGCUUCUCUCGAUGCCGCAUCUUUUUGAAGCCGUAGCUGUAGUUCUUCACAUUUCUUUUGAACCUCUGCUUCUAUCGCUGCUUAUCUCGCUACGGCAUCUGCUUCCCUCACUGCUGCCUCUGAUUUAAGUUGUUGCUGAAGUUCUUCAUAUUUCCUUUGAACCUCAAAUGUGGUCGCUUGCAUCUGAGUCAUCUAGUCUUUUAACCUCUGAACUUCAGCUUGAGACUGACUCCCCGAAGCCAUGUAUUGGUGCGAGCUGGAUCCAAAAUAUUGGGUUGGGCUGAUAAAAGAUCCUUGAAAUCGAACCCGACCAUACUUUUCAGGACCCAAAACUUUAGUAAUAAUCCGGUUAUCAAUGUCUUCAAGAUGAAUAGAACUAUCACUAGAAGCAAUCGUUUCGUACUCUGUCUUUUUUUCCUUCAGUUUUUCCUAAUAAAUAAAUCACAUAGUUAGGAACGCAAUAUAUAGUAAAAAAAACAAAUGCAAUAUAACAAUAGUCGCAUUACAAGCAAUGAAUUAAACCAUUAGAAAAUAAACACUAUAAAUAACUAAAACAAGUGAAAUCGUAUUAAGUAAACGUACCAUAAUUUCACCAGCUUCAGGAGUCAUAGCAGAUCCAUCUUUCUUCUUAUGUGUAAUUUCAAAAAGUUGAAGGCGUCCAACUUUUUGAUCGGACGACCGUUCCUACAACACUCUUUUUUAAGUUUUUAUUGGGGGAUAUUUGCUUGAUGUAAGUGAGAUAUUUUGGAGAGAGUGAUUUGUAAUAAUUUAGGUUCAAUAUUGAAGUUGCAAAUAACUAUAAGGUAAUGGUAAUUUAGACUUUAGUCAAUAGUUAAUCAAGACGAAUUGUAAAUAAAAAUUAUUUUUUAAGCGAAACUCUACAGAAUAAAACUAGUGAACUCAAACUACUGAACUCAAACUACGCUAACAAAUAUUACAUAUUAUCUUUCCUUACUUUACUUGUUGCUUUACCUUAUUUUAAAAUUGUUUUGUCAUAAAUGUAUUAUGUUUGAACCUUUCCGAUCGAAAUAAAAAAAAUGAGAUUGAAAUUGUGAUAAAGCUAAAAAAAGGUUACAACAAAUAUGAUUAAUAUUAUUUUUAUAUAUACUUAAUAAAAGUUAAAAAGGGAAUUACAUUUAUUGAAUAUUAUUUUAUUUAAUAAAAUAUAAUUACUAUAUUUUAUAUAAAAUUUAAAUAUUUUAUUGUUUGUUAGUUAAAUUUUAUUUUUUUUUAUUUUCUUUAUGAAUAAAAUUAAUUUUCCUAAAAUUUGAGAUAAAAAAUGUUAUAUAGAAAAUUAAAUUAGUAAAAAGUUAAAAAAAUCAAUUCUAAAAUAAACUUAACUAUUAUAAUAAAAUAUUUUUAUAUAAAAAAAAAGAAAUUAUAGAAAAGACUUAUUGAAUAUAUUUCCUAUUUUCGACAUUCAUAAAAAAAAAAAAGUGGUCCUAAUAAUUUUUUUAUACAAAACAAAAAAAAGUGGUCCUAUUAAUUUACCUCACAUUUGAAAUGUGUUAUAUGUAAUAAUAUUAAUAUCUUUAUCAAUUUUGGAGGUUCAUCCUUUCCCAUCUCUAUAAAUUUGCAUGCAGAACUAAAGCAACACAUAUCAACACAAUCUGUAUAACCAUGAAAACCACAACAGCUUCGGUGUUUCUUCUUUUCAUCAUCUUCUCAAUCACACCAUUGUCCUUUUCGUUUGGUGUGGCCAACACUUCAAACGCUCCUGUGCUCGACAGUGAUGGCAACGAGCUCCGCACAGGCACCCCAUACUUCGUUGUGUCGUCGAUAUGGGGUGCUGGUGGUGGGGGGCUUGCCCUAGGCAUGCCUAGAGGAAAGCCAUGCCCGGAAGUCGUUGCUCAAAGAGGAUCUGGUGACGAUGGUAUUCCGGUGAUAUUUUCUAAUUCGGACUCCAACGAUGGCGUUGUUCGCCUAUCCUCUGACAUAAACAUAGAGUUCAUUCCCCUCAGACCCAGAUUUUGCCAAACAACAACGGUGUGGAAGGUCGAUGAUUACGACCACUCAGCCGGAAAAUGGUGGGUGAUAACCGAUGGGGUUAAAGGGAACCCAGGUGCCAAC